rnacentral:rRNA from 1 species
AGCGAACGCUGGCGGCAGGCCUAACACAUGCAAGUCGAACGAACCUUUCGGGGUUAGUGGCGGACGGGUGAGUAACACGUGGGAACGUGCCUUUAGGUUCGGAAUAACUCAGGGAAACUUGUGCUAAUACCGAAUGUGCCCUUCGGGGGAAAGAUUAAUCGCCUUUAGAGCGGCCCGCGUCCGAUUAGCUAGUUGGUUGAGGUAAUGGCUCACCAAGGCGACGAUCAGUAGCUGGUCUGAGAGGAUGAUCAGCCACAUUGGGACUGAGAAACGGCCCAAACUCCUACGGGAGGGAGGAGUGGGGAAUCCUGCGCAAUGGGGGGAAGGCUGACGCCGCCCUGGCGGGGGAAUGAUGAAGGUCUUAGGGUUGUAAAAUUCUUUAACCCGGGACGAUAAUGACGGUACCCGGAGAAGAAGCCCCGGCUAACUUCGUG